UCCCUCUCAGGGUUGCACCUGGAGAGGUUCCAGUACUCUACCAGUCUCGACUACAGGAGGGAGAGUCAAGCAGAGGCGUACCCAUUCCAUUCGUAACUUGGGCAGUGGCUAGUGAGUGGAAGGCAAUCUGCUACAUGU